GAUGAACGCUGGCGGCGUGCCUAAUACAUGCAAGUCGAGCGAACAGACGAGGAUCUUGCUCUUCUCACGUUAGCGGCGGACGGGUGAGUCACACGUGGAUAACCUACCUCUAAGACUUGGAUAACUUCGAGAAACCGGAGCUACUACCGGAUAAUAUAUUGAACCGCAUGGUUCAAUAGUGAAUGACGGUUUUGCUGUCACUUAUCGAUGGAUCCGCGCCGCAGUGGCUAGUUGGUAAGGUAACGGCUUACCAAGGCAGCGAUGCGUAGCCGACCUGAGAGGGGGAUGCGGCACAGAGGAGGUGAGACGCGGUCCAGAGUCCUAGGGGAGGCACCGGUAGGGAAGCGACGGCGAUGUGCGAAAUCUUGACGGAGGGACGCAGGGUGGGUGAUGAAGGGCCUCGGAUCGGAAAACUCUGUUAGGAGGGAAGAACAAAUGUGUAAGUAACGAAGCACUUCGUGACGGUACCUAAUCAGAAAGCCACGGCUAACUACGUG
rnacentral:rRNA from 1 species